AUUUUCCACGUGAAAGUCCAUAUAUAACAGGUCACGAGCGGCCCUAUCGUCUCAACGAGCCUCUGGACGUAAAUUGCUCUUCGGCCAAAGCUUUCCCGGCGCCCGACUUGCAGUGGCUCAUCGAUGGACAGAAGGUGACGGACCGCUCCUGGUUAAUCGCGUAUGGCGCCAAGCCAGCCCCGCAAGGACUGCUGGUGUCUACCCUGGGUUUGACGGCGCCGGCGAAACCCAAUAUGAAGCUCCGAUGUAUCGCCGUCAUUGGCACGCAUAGAAGGGAGAGGAGCAUUAUCAUAGAAACGAGCUCUUCCGACCUUCCCCAACACUACGGUAUUGUGGUCAUCACAACUUUCGCUGUACUGAGCAUUAUUUCCCCAAAAGUGUCAUGAUGCUGAAAAUAUUUGAACACCUAUUAUGUUUAAUAUUUUAUGUAAAUACAAAAAUAUUAUUAAGAA